rnacentral:tRNA from 1 species
GGGCUCUUGGCACAGGGGUAGCGCGCACGCUUUGCAUGCGUGAGGUCGUGGGUUCAAAUCCCACAGUGUCCA